UUGUGUGUUCAUUCGAAUCCUUUGUGCGACCCAGAUAGUUUUCAUUUCAGAAUUUUCUAUUUCAGAUUCAGAUUUAUUUCAGGCGUUAAUCAAAAUUUGUGUAAUCAAUUUUCGGAAGUUGAUCUAGACCACCCAGUCCCUCAAAUUGAAAAAUUUCAAGCGAAUAUUAGGAUUUUUCAUUUAGCAGAUGUCAGAUGUGGACGAGGGAAGACUAUAAAAAUUCUGAGUUUCAAUUUUGAUUUGUUACGAGUUAGCUGAACAGGUCUUUUGUGGAUGGUGUAGCGACCACACAGUAAUAUUUCUCAAUCUAUUCUUAAGAUCCCAAUACUUUUUUCACAAAAUUUUUGGCUUUUUAGUGCAGAUUCCGUGUUCUGUUGACGAAAUGUGUUUUUAAAAUUUUUUCAUUAGCCCGUGAAUCCAAAACGAUCAUAUUUGCCAUGAUCAGACGAUUACAACAACUUUAUAAGUAAGAAAACCUAUUUAUAGAAUAAGUUCGUUUUUAGCGGUAUUUACUGUAACGGGAGUCCGCGAACGUAUGUUCUUUAAUUCCCUGUGUAGGUCUUUCAGACCACACCGCUUCAUGGUAAUCAGUGUGACAUUCGGUUGAUUUCUGCCCCCGUUUAAAGUCCAUUAGUUCUUGUCUGGGAAUCUAGGGAAGUAGUGCCCCUAGAUACAAACUUUUGUUUGCAGCGUCAGAGUUGGUUUUUUUCUAAGACAAUAUAUUCAAUGUUUCCCCUUCAAUUAGGCACAGAUUGCUAUAGUUAAAAGGACACAGGGGUGUGGGAAAGAAUUUAAUUUGAUUUUGGUAGUUAAAACGGUUUUAUUGUAAGGGCCUCCAGUUGAAUUUGUUUGGGGUUGUACGGUUUUUUAGAAUUGCACUACUGCAUUAUACCUAUAGCAGUUUUGUUGUUCUUUUGGGCCAAUGGUUUCUUAGUACAGUCCUGUCGAGCUAACUGCGAAAAGUCAAAUUGUCGCGACAUAAGACGACAUUAACUAGAAUUCCGCGACGAUCCUGCUGACGUCAGAUCCAUUCGUCAUCAAGUGCGCAAUGUGGCUGAUUCGGCAGAAUUUGUGCCAACGUGGGUUUGAGAAGUUUUUGGUGAAGAAUCGUGAGGCAAUUCAGAAUGAAGGAAUCCCGUUUUUAUCUCAGGACCACAUUACGUACCUAACGUUCGCCUGAAGUAGUCGAUUUGUACGCAGGUGACACCUUUUAAUAGAUAUUGUCGCCUACCAACGGAUUGCGUAAUCUUGCGUAAUCGCCUGGGAAUUUCAAAAUCCGAGUCGCAUUUAUUUACGAGGUCCAGGAUCGAUUUGUUUAUCAACCCAUUAGGAUCGACGUCAUGUCAAUUAUUGUGAGCAGUCUAGUAGAGACGCCGGCAUUUCCAGUAGAAUGAUCCCUGGAGAUUAGUUUUUUGUAUUCAAAUGAGUACCGUUUCCUAUGAAAUAUUAAGAAAAAAACUUAAACAAUCAGCCUGGUGAUACUUUGUUUGAAAGAAAUUUUAAUUAUCGGUUCAGCAACAAUCAUUUUUUUUAAUUUGAUGCGAUCAUAACUGACAAGAUUAAUUAUGAAGAUGUAAAAUUAUGAGAGAACCUAUGAAAACAAGACAAUAUUUCACUCAGAAGACUCGCCGGUAAAUAGAAAAUUACAAAAAAAAUGUUUUUUUUUUCAUAUCUCUAAUUACCCCGUAAGUUUUGUAAUUAUGCUAAUCUCUAAAAUCGUGUCAAAACAUGUUUGCAUUGCAAUGGUGCGCACAUUUCACGGUAAAAUUCGUUCAGAGUUCGAGCUAAUACCUAUACAUCAUUUUUUGAUCAAUUUUGGAAAUGCUGUAUAGGCACCAUUCUUUUCUUGCUAAUGUCACAAUGAAUACACUAGUACAGUAAAUUUUUCAAAUAUUAGUUUACGUCAUUACCUAUAGGAAUUUGCUUUCCCCUCAAGAUAAACAUGAUUUACCAUGAGAUACUAAAAACAAAGAAGAAGCACAAUAAAUUUCCAUUAAUAUUACAACUAACAUACAUAGGUAUAAAAGCACUAAGAUGACAAUUAAAAGUACUCGAACUCUCACAAUGAAGAUAUCACUAUGUAUCUUGCUUAUCGGUCUGAGAUCUCUGUAUGCGGUUCCGAUCAACUCAGAGUUGCAGAAAAUCGCGUUAAGAUAAAAAAACAAGUCCAUGGCAGUACAGUGGAAAGUUUCAGGGCGACAUGCUCUUUUCAAACAGGAGGAACGCGGUCACUGAUGUGAACUUACGAUGGCCGUACGGUAAAGUGUGCUGAUACCAUCACUUUCGAGCAGCAGAAUAGAAUAAGAGACACGUUGACGAACGCAUUUGAUUUGUUGACACAUGUCUUCAAACCGUAGAAAACUGGCAAGACUGCAAUGGCGAUUAUGUUUAUAUCAGAAAUGACGAUGAGGGAUGCUACGCGUACGUGGGAAGAAUCGGAGGGGGGCAAACGCUGAACUUGGGAGGCGGAUGUGCUGACCAAGCGAACGUGAUCCUACAUGAAUUCAUGCAUGCCGUUGGUUUUCAACAUCAGCACAGCUCGCCUGAUCGUGACAACUACAUAUGGAUAAUGUACGAGAACAUAGUUGACGGACCUGGUGUGUCUAACAUCUUCUGGCAGCUUGUUCCACAAUUUGCCCGCUUGUAUAUAAAAGGACGAUGCUCCAAUGCUUGUCUGAGCCUUAGGAAUAUAAAUAUUUGACGUCCUAGUACCGUAACAAUGGAAUUUAGAUCAGUACGGCAGUUUUGACAUAAUCCAGGAUGUGACCUCUUUUGGAGAACCCUACGAUAUCUGCACCAUAAUGCACUAUACCGAUCGUGCUUUUUCGAAAAAUGGCGAGCCUACUAUAGUGGCGAAAUCGGAUCCGGGGUGCGUUAUUGGGGGUGCUCAUGAGCAGGGCCUUACACAAAUUGACAAAAAUAAAAUCAAUCACAUGUACUGUUCAUAGAGUAGAACAGCUUCUUGUUCCGCAGGUCUUCUUGUUGAAAACUUUCAGUAAAGUUGUUAUGCUAACCCACAGAAUAAACACUAGAAAAUGUAAUAACAAUAUUUUUUACCACCCAGCAUUCCACAAUUCGUAAGCUAACCAUAAAUACAUACUUAUCUUUAAAAGUUACAUCGAAUUAACUUCGAGACAAUAAAGAACGACUCUAAGCCAAACUUAGAAUGCCUUCUCGGUGUUGUGGGAUUA